rnacentral:rRNA from 1 species
GACGAACGCUGGCGGCGUGCCUAAUACAUGCAAGUAGAACGAGUUGCGAACGGGUGAGUAUCGCGUGGUAAACUGCCUCAUUGCGGGGGGUAACUAUUUGAAACGAUAGCUAAUACCCCAUACUGUGAGAUGGACCUGCGUUGUAUUAGCUAGUUGGUAAGGUAAAGGCUCACCAAGGCGACGAGCCCUAGCUGGUCUGUGCGGAUGACCAGCCACACUGGAACUGAGACACGGUCCAGACUCCUACGGGAGGCAGCAGUGGUGAAUAUUGCACAAUGGGCGCAAGCCUGAUGCAGCCAUGCCGCGUGUAUGAAGAAGGCCUUCGGGUUGUAAAGUACUUUCAGCGGGGAGGCGUUACCCGCAGAAGAAGCACCGGCUAACUCCGUGCCAGCAGCCGCGGUAAUAC